GCCGUUGUAGCACAAUGGUAGUGCGUUGCUUUCCUACGAUGCUUCGUUAGGCAAAGGUUGUGGGUUCGAGUCCCAUCAACGGUU
rnacentral:tRNA from 1 species